UACGAAGGGUGCAAGCGUUAAUCGGAAUUACUGGGCGUAAAGGGUGCGUAGGCGGUUCGUUAAGUCUGUUGUGAAAGCCCCGGGCUCAACCUGGGAAUGGCAAUGGAUACUGGCAGGCUAGAGUGUGGCAGAGGAUGGUGGAAUUCCCGGUGUAGCGGUGAAAUGCGUAGAGAUCGGGAGGAACAUCAGUGGCGAAGGCGGCCAUCUGGGACAACACUGACGCUGAAGCACGAAAGCGUGGGGAGCAAACAGG
rnacentral:rRNA from 1 species